rnacentral:tRNA from 1 species
GGAGUUGUUGUUCAGUGGUAGAGUGCUUGCCUAGCACGCAUGAAGCACUGGGUUCCAUCCUCAGCACCA